CAAAGGUUACAGCUACUGAAUCACUUAUUAUAAAAGUGAUGUCGUAAGGGAAAAUAAUGAUACUACCUUACUAAUAGUGUCGUCCAAAACUGGUGCCAGAAGACUCGGUUACACCAUAGACGCGAACGUUAAUCAUAAUAAACAGGCGUAGAGGGUAUGUAGGCUGCUUUAUAUUCUUUUUUUUUUAAUAAAUUAAAAAGAUCAAAGCUAGAAUCAAAAAUAGGUUUAUAUUGUAUAACGCUUAGAGGAGGGCUGAUAUCCGCAGAUCUUAAGUAAAAUACCAAGGGCGCAGGCCACUUACCAAUAAAGAUUGACGCUGAGAAACGAAGGUUAGGGUAGGAAAUAGGAUUAGAUACCCAGAUACCCCUAUCUGUCAACGAUGAAUGGUCGUCAUUAGUUAAAACUAGAGACUAAGUUAACGCGUUAACCAUUCCGCCUUGUAAGUACUAUUGCAAAAUAGAAAACAAAAAAAUUAGUCGGUCUCGACUGAA
rnacentral:rRNA from 1 species